GGCGCACGGGUGAGUAACGCGUAUAGCAACCUACCGUAUCAGAGGGGAAUAACCCGGCGAAAGUCGGACUAAUACCGCAUAAAACAGGGGCACCGCAUGGUGAUAUUUGUUAAAGAAAUUCGCUGAUAGAUGGGCAUGCGUUCCAUUAGGUAGUUGGUGAGGUAACGGCUCACCAAGCCGACGAUGGAUAGGGAACUGAGAGGUUGGUCCCCCACACUGGUACUGAGACACGGACCAGACUCCUACGGGAGGCAGCAGUGAGGAAUAUUGGUCAAUGGGCGAGAGCCUGAACCAGCCAAGUCGCCGUGAAGGAAGAAGGAUCUAUGGUUCGUAAACUUCUUUUGCAGGGGAAUAAAGUGCGGGACGUGUCCUGUUUUGUAUGUACCCUGAGAAUAAGGAUCGGCUAACUCCGUGCCAGCCGCGGC
rnacentral:rRNA from 1 species